UACGUAGGGUGCAAGCGUUGUCCGGAAUUAUUGGGCGUAAAGAGCUCGUAGGCGGUCUGUCGCGUCGGCUGUGAAAUCCCGAGGCUCAACCUCGGGUCUGCAGUCGAUACGGGCAAACUAGAGUAUUGCAGGGGAGACUGGAAUUCCUGGUGUAGCGGUGAAAUGCGUAGAUAUCGAGAGGAACACCUGCGGCGAAGGCGGGUUGCUGGGCUGACACUGACGCUGAGGCGCGAAAGCUAGGGGAGCGAACGGG
rnacentral:rRNA from 1 species